rnacentral:rRNA from 1 species
GGAUUAGAUACCCUGGUAGUCCACGCUGUAAACGGUGCGCACUGGGUGUGGAGGGUAUCGACCCCCUCUGUGCCGAAGCUAACGCGUUAAGUGCGCCGCCUGGGGAGUACGGCCGCAAGGUUGAAACUCAAAGGAAUUGACGGGGGCCCGCACAAGCGGUGGAGGAUGUGGUUUAAUUCGACGCAACGCGAAGAACCUUACCUGGGCUUGAACCGCCAAUUAAUCUUUUGGAAACAAGAGGUCCCCGCAAGGGGGAAUUGGUAGAGGUGCUGCAUGGCUGUCGUCAGCUCGUGCCG